GUGGGGAAUAUUGGACAAUGGGGGGAACCCUGAUCCAGCCAUGCCGCGUGUGUGAAGAAGGCCUUUUGGUUGUAAAGCACUUUAAGUGGGGAGGAGGCUUACCUGGUUAAUACCUGGGCUAAGUGGACGUUACCCACAGAAUAAGCACCGGCUAACUCUGUGCCAGCAGCCGCGGUAAUACAGAGGGUGCGAGCGUUAAUCGGAUUUACUGGGCGUAAAGCGCGCGUAGGUGGUUAAUUAAGUCAAAUGUGAAAUCCCCGAGCUUAACUUGGGAAGUGCAUUCGAUACUGGUUAGCUAGAGUAUGGGAGAGGAUGGUAGAAUUCCAGGUGUAGCGGUGAAAUGCGUAGAGAUCUGGAGGAAUACCGAUGGCGAAGGCAGCCAUCUGGCCUAAUACUGACACUGAGGUGCGAAAGCAUGGGGAGCAAACAGGAUUAGAAACCCUGGUAGUCC
rnacentral:rRNA from 1 species